UACGAAGGGGGCUAGCGUUGCUCGGAAUUACUGGGCGUAAAGCGCACGUAGGCGGGUCCUUAAGUCAGGGGUGAAAUCCUGGAGCUCAACUCCAGAACUGCCUUUGAUACUGAGGAUCUCGAGUUCGGGAGAGGUGAGUGGAACUGCGAGUGUAGAGGUGAAAUUCGUAGAUAUUCGCAAGAACACCAGUGGCGAAGGCGGCUCACUGGCCCGAUACUGACGCUGAGGUGCGAAAGCGUGGGGAGCAAACAGG
rnacentral:rRNA from 1 species